rnacentral:rRNA from 1 species
GGGUUGUGAGGUUAAGCGACUAAGCGUACACGGUGGAUGCCCUGGCAGUCAGAGGCGAUGAAGGACGUGCUAAUCUGCGAAAAGCGUCGGUAAGGUGAUAUGAACCGUUAUAACCGGCGAUGUCCGAAUGGGGAAACCCAGUGCAAUUCGUUGCACUAUCGUUAACUGAAUACAUAGGUUAACGAGGCGAACCGGGGGAACUGAAACAUCUAAGUACCCCGAGGAAAAGAAAUCAACCGAGAUUCCCCCAGUAGCGGCGAGCGAACGGGGAGCAGCCCAGAGUCUGAAUCAGCUUGUGUGUUAGUGGAACGGUCUGGAAAGUCCGACGGUACAGGGUGAUAGUCCCGUACACCAAAAUGCACAGGUUGUGAACUCGAAGAGUAGGGCGGGACACGUGGUAUCCUGUCUGAAUAUGGGGGGACCAUCCUCCAAGGCUAAAUACUCCUGACUGACCGAUAGUGAACCAGUACCGUGAGGGAAAGGCGAAAAGAACCCCGGCGAGGGGAGUGAAAAAGAACCUGAAACCGUGUACGUACAAGCAGUGGGAGCACCUUCGGGUGUGACUGCGUACCUUUUGUAUAAUGGGUCAGCGACUUAUAUUCUGUAGCAAGGUUAACCGUAUAGGGGAGCCGCAGGGAAACCGAGUCUUAACUGGGCGUUAAGUUGCAGGGUAUAGACCCGAAACCCGGUGAUCUAGCCAUGGGCAGGUUGAAGGUUGGGUAACACUAACUGGAGGACCGAACCGACUAAUGUUGAAAAAUUAGCGGAUGACUUGUGGCUGGGGGUGAAAGGCCAAUCAAACCGGGAGAUAGCUGGUUCUCCCCGAAAGCUAUUUAGGUAGCGCCUCGUGAAUUCAUCUUCGGGGGUAGAGCACUGUUUCGGCUAGGGGGUCAUCCCGACUUACCAACCCGAUGCAAACUACGAAUACCGAAGAAUGUUAUCACGGGAGACACACGGCGGGUGCUAACGUCCGUCGUGAAGAGGGAAACAACCCAGACCGCCAGCUAAGGUCCCAAAGUCAUGGUUAAGUGGGAAACGAUGUGGGAAGGCACAGACAGCCAGGAUGUUGGCUUAGAAGCAGCCAUCAUUUAAAGAAAGCGUAAUAGCUCACUGGUCGAGUCGGCCUGCGCGGAAGAUGUAACGGGGCUAAACCAUGCACCGAAGCUGCGGCAGCGACACUAUGUGUUGUUGGGUAGGGGAGCGUUCUGUAAGCCUGCGAAGGUGUGCUGUGAGGCAUGCUGGAGGUAUCAGAAGUGCGAAUGCUGACAUAAGUAACGAUAAAGCGGGUGAAAAGCCCGCUCGCCGGAAGACCAAGGGUUCCUGUCCAACGUUAAUCGGGGCAGGGUGAGUCGACCCCUAAGGCGAGGCCGAAAGGCGUAGUCGAUGGGAAACAGGUUAAUAUUCCUGUACUUGGUGUUACUGCGAAGGGGGGACGGAGAAGGCUAUGUUAGCCGGGCGACGGUUGUCCCGGUUUAAGCAUGUAGGCUGGUUAUCCAGGCAAAUCCGGAUAAUCAAGGCUGAGGUGUGAUGACGAGGCACUACGGUGCUGAAGUAACAAAUGCCCUGCUUCCAGGAAAAGCCUCUAAGCAUCAGGUAACAUCAAAUCGUACCCCAAACCGACACAGGUGGUCAGGUAGAGAAUACCAAGGCGCUUGAGAGAACUCGGGUGAAGGAACUAGGCAAAAUGGUGCCGUAACUUCGGGAGAAGGCACGCUGGUGUGUAGGUGAAGUCCCUGCGGAUGGAGCUGAGACCAGUCGAAGAUACCAGCUGGCUGCAACUGUUUAUUAAAAACACAGCACUGUGCAAACACGAAAGUGGACGUAUACGGUGUGACGCCUGCCCGGUGCCGGAAGGUUAAUUGAUGGGGUUAUCCGUAAGGAGAAGCUCUUGAUCGAAGCCCCGGUAAACGGCGGCCGUAACUAUAACGGUCCUAAGGUAGCGAAAUUCCUUGUCGGGUAAGUUCCGACCUGCACGAAUGGCGUAAUGAUGGCCAGGCUGUCUCCACCCGAGACUCAGUGAAAUUGAACUCGCUGUGAAGAUGCAGUGUACCCGCGGCAAGACGGAAAGACCCCGUGAACCUUUACUAUAGCUUGACACUGAACAUUGAGCCUUGAUGUGUAGGAUAGGUGGGAGGCUUUGAAGCGUGGACGCCAGUCUGCGUGGAGCCAACCUUGAAAUACCACCCUUUAAUGUUUGAUGUUCUAACGUUGGCCCCUGACCGGGGUUGCGGACAGUGUCUGGUGGGUAGUUUGACUGGGGCGGUCUCCUCCCAAAGCGUAACGGAGGAGCACGAAGGUUAGCUAAUCCUGGUCGGACAUCAGGAGGUUAGUGCAAUGGCAUAAGCUAGCUUGACUGCGAGCGUGACGGCGCGAGCAGGUGCGAAAGCAGGUCAUAGUGAUCCGGUGGUUCUGAAUGGAAGGGCCAUCGCUCAACGGAUAAAAGGUACUCCGGGGAUAACAGGCUGAUACCGCCCAAGAGUUCAUAUCGACGGCGGUGUUUGGCACCUCGAUGUCGGCUCAUCACAUCCUGGGGCUGAAGUAGGUCCCAAGGGUAUGGCUGUUCGCCAUUUAAAGUGGUACGCGAGCUGGGUUUAGAACGUCGUGAGACAGUUCGGUCCCUAUCUGCCGUGGGCGCUGGAGAAUUGAGGGGGGCUGCUCCUAGUACGAGAGGACCGGAGUGGACGCAUCACUGGUGUUCGGGUUGUCAUGCCAAUGGCACUGCCCGGUAGCUAAAUGCGGAAGAGAUAAGUGCUGAAAGCAUCUAAGCACGAAACUUGCCCCGAGAUGAGUUCUCCCUGAGACUAUAAGUCUCCUGAAGGAACGUUAAAGACGAUGACGUUGAUAGGCCGGGUGUGUAAGCGCAGCGAUGCGUUGAGCUAACCGGUACUAAUGAACCGUGAGGCUUAACCUUACAACGCCGAAG